GCCUGUAUCUGAUUCAUUGCUAUAUCUAACUUGUUUAGCAAAAUCCAAUAUAAUUUGGAAGAGUUUGGGAUGUAAAAUUAAAAUCUAUUUUGAUUUAGGAUAGAUGCAGAAUUUGCCUCCUAUUUUACUCAAAUCUGAUUUUCAGUAAUAUAUGUAUUAUAAUUUUUUAUAAAAAUAUAUAUAGUAGGAGGACAGGAGGUUUCAAAUAUUUAAAUGGUGU
rnacentral:lncRNA from 1 species